UAUCCGCUAGACUAAAGAAGUCGGCUCUUCUCCACCAAGGGCAGAUCGUGGUUGCAAUGCCACGGCGGAUCU
rnacentral:tRNA from 2 species